rnacentral:miRNA from 2 species
ACGCAGUGACGUCAGCGCCUCU